UACGUAGGGUGCGAGCGUUAAUCGGAUUUACUGGGCGUAAAGCGUGCGCAGGCGGCCCGUUAAAACAGGUGUGAAAUCCCUGGGCUCAACCUAGGAAUUGCGCUUGUUACUGGCGGGCUCGAGUACGGUAGAGGGGGGUGGAAUUCCUGGUGUAGCAGUGAAAUGCGUAGAGAUCAGGAGGAACACCGAUGGCGAAGGCAGCCCCCUGGGCCUGUACUGACGCUGAUGCACGAAAGCGUGGGGAGCAAACAGG
rnacentral:rRNA from 1 species